rnacentral:rRNA from 1 species
CUACGGGUUGCUGCAGUGAGGAAUUUUGCGCAAUGGGGGGAGCCCUGACGCAGCAACGCCGUGUGAGUGAAGAAGGCCUUUGGGUCGUAAAGCUCUGUCAACUGGGAAGAAGUUACUAUGCUUAAAUAGAGUGUAGUAUUGACGGUACCAGUGGAGGAAGCGUCGGCUAACUCCGUGCCAGCAGCCGCGGUAACACGGGGGACGCAAGCGUUAUUCGGAAUUAUUGGGCGUAAAGGGCGCGUAGGCGGUCUUGGCGGUCAGGUGUGAAAGCCCGGGGCUCAACCCCGGACGUGCACUUGAAACAGCAAGACUUGAGUACGGGAGAGGAAAGCGGAAUUCCUGGUGUAGAGGUGAAAUUCGUAGAUAUCAGGAGGAACACCGAUGGCGAAGGCAGCUUUCUGGACCGAAACUGACGCUGAGGCGCGAAGGCGUGGGUAGCGAACGGGAUUAGAUACCCUCGUAGUC